rnacentral:rRNA from 1 species
GAUAAACGCUGGCGGCGUGCAUGAGACAUGCAAGUCGAACGGACGAUCAGGGCUUGCUCUGAUCGUUAGUGGCGGACGGCUGAGUAACGCGUAGGUGACCUGCCCCGAAGUGGGGAAUAACUGCCCGAAAGGGUGGCUAAUACCGCAUGUGGUGGUGCCUUCAUAGGCACCAGUAAAGCCGCAAGGCGCUUCGGGAGGGGCCUGCGUCCGAUUAGCUCGUUGGGGGGUAACGGCUCACCAAGGCGACGAUCGGUAGGUGGUCUGAGAGGACGAUCACCCAGACUGGGACUGAGACACGGCCCAGACUCCUACGGGAGGCAGCAGUCGGGAAUUUUGCGCAAUGGACGAAAGUCUGACGCAGCAACGCCGCGUGAGGGAUGACGGCCU